rfam:Danio rerio chromosome 4, GRCz11 reference primary assembly.
GUCGGCAGAUAGCUCUCUACAACUCUCACCUGGUCGCCCAUUGAAGCGAAGCAGGGCUGCGCCUGGUCAGUACCUGAAUGGGAGACCACAUGGGAAAGCCAGGUUGCUGCUGGAA